rnacentral:rRNA from 1 species
CUGAUGGCGACCGGCGCACGGGUGAGUAACACGUAUCCAACCUGCCGAUAACUCGGGGAUAGCCUUUCGAAAGAAAGAUUAAUACCCGAUGGCAUAAUUAGACCGCAUGGUCUUAUUAUUAAAGAAUUUCGGUUAUCGAUGGGGAUGCGUUCCAUUAGGCAGUUGGUGAGGUAACGGCUCACCAAACCUUCGAUGGAUAGGGGUUCUGAGAGGAAGGUCCCCCACAUUGGAACUGAGACACGGUCCAA